rnacentral:tRNA from 1 species
GAGGGUGUAGCUCAAGUGGUAGAGCACAUGCUUAGCAUGCAUGAGGUCCUGGGUUCAAUCCGCAGUACCUUCC